UACAGAGGUGGCAAGCGUUGUUCGGAAUACUGGGCGUAAAGGGCGCGUAGGCGGUUGCCUAAGUCGGACGUGAAAUCCCCAAGCUUAACUUGGGAACUGCAUCUGAUACUGGGUGACUUGAGUUCGGGAGAGGUGAGUGGAACUCCGAGUGUAGAGGUGAAAUUCGUAGAUAUCUGGAGGAACAUCGGUGGCGAAGGCGGCAUCCUGGACCGGUAUUGACGCUGAGGCGCGAAAGCCAGGGGAGCAAACGGG
rnacentral:rRNA from 1 species